AUUGAACGCUGGCGGCAUGCCUUACACAUGCAGGUCGAACGGUAACAGGUCUUCGGAUGCUGACGAGUGGCGAACGGGUGAGUAAUACAUCGGAACGUGCCCAGACGUGGGGGAUAACGAGGCGAAAGCUUUGCUAAUACCGCAUACGAUCUAAGGAUGAAAGCAGGGGACCGCAAGGCCUUGUGCGUUUGGAGCGGCCGAUGGCAGAUUAGGUAGUUGGUGGGAUAAAAGCUUACCAAGCCGACGAUCUGUAGCUGGUCUGAGAGGACGACCAGCCACACUGGGACUGAGACACGGCCCAGACUCCUACGGGAGGCAGCAGUGGGGAAUUUUGGACAAUGGGCGAAAGCCUGAUCCAGCAAUGCCGCGUGCAGGAUGAAGGCCUUCGGGUUGUAAACUGCUUUUGUACGGAACGAAAAGGCUCUGGCUAAUACCUGGGGCACAUGACGGUACCGUAAGAAUAAGCACCGGCUAACUACGUG
rnacentral:rRNA from 1 species